AUCUGGUUCAGGAUGAACGCUGCGGCGUGCUUAACACAUGCAAGCGAACGAAGCACCUCUAAUCGAAGAUUGAGAAAGCUUGCUUUGAUUGAUUCACCUUGAGGUGACUGAGUGGCGGACGGGUGAGUAACGCGUGGGUAACCUACCCUAUACAGGGGGAUAACAGUUGGAAACGACUGCUAAUACCGCAUAAGCGCACAGGACCGCAUGGUCUAGUGUGAAAAAACUCCGGUGGUAUAGGAUGGACCCGCGUCUGAUUAGCUAGUUGGUGAGGUAACGGCUCACCAAGGCGACGAUCAGUAGCCGACCUGAGAGGGUGACCGGCCACAUUGGGACUGAGACACGGCCCAAACUCCUACGGGAGGCAGCAGUGGGGAAUAUUGCACAAUGGGCGAAAGCCUGAAUGCAGCGACGCCGCGUGAACGAAGAAGUAUUUCGGUAUGUAAAGUUCUAUCAGCAGGGAAGAAAAAUGACGGUACCUGACUAAGAAGCUCCGGCUAAAUACGUGCCAGCCGCGGC
rnacentral:rRNA from 1 species